GACAGAGGUGCCGAGCGUUAGGCGGAAUCACUGGGCUUAAAGCGUGUGUAGGCGGGUCGUUAAGUGUCUUGUGAAAUCCCACCGCUCACCGGUGGAACGGCUGGGCAUACUGGCGACCUUGAGAGGCCUAGGGGCAGACGGAACAAGCGGUGGAGCGGUGAAAUGCGUAGAUAUCGCCUGGAACGCCGAAGGUGAAAACAGUCUGCUGGGGGCGCACCGACGCUGAGACACGAAAGCCAGGGGAGCGAACAGG
rnacentral:rRNA from 1 species